AGACCCGAAACCCGGUGAUCUAGCCAUGGGCAGGUUGAAGGUUGGGUAACACUAACUGGAGGACCGAACCGACUAAUGUUGAAAAAUUAGCGGAUGACCUGUGGCUGGGGGUGAAAGGCCAAUCAAACCGGGAGAUAGCUGGUUCUCCCCGAAAGCUAUUUAGGUAGCGCCUCGUGAAUUCAUCUCCGGGGGUAGAGCACUGUUUCGGCUAGGGGGCCAUCCCGGCUUACCAACCCGAUGCAAACUGCGAAUACCGGAGAAUGUUAUCACGGGAGACACACGGCGGGUGCUAACGUCCGUCGUGAAGAGGGAAACAACCCAGACCGCCAGCUAAGGUCCCAAAGUCAUGGUUAAGUGGGAAACGAUGUGGGAAGGCCCAGACAGCCAGGAUGUUGGCUUAGAAGCAGCCAUCAUUUAAAGAAAGCGUAAUAGCUCACUGGUCGAGUCGGCCUGCGCGGAAGAUGUAACGGGGCUAAACCAUGCACCGAAGCUGCGGCAGCGAACGUAUCACUUAAAGCGAUUCAGCGGGUUACGAUUGACGGAGCGAAGCGACGUCAAAGCGUAUACAAAGUCGAGUCGGUUUAAGGAUACGUUCGUUGGGUAGGGGAGCGUUCUGUAAGCCUGUGAAGGUGUGUCGUGAGGCAUGCUGGAGGUAUCAGAAGUGCGAAUGCUGACAUAAGUAACGAUAAAGCGGGUGAAAAGCCCGCUCGCCGGAAGACCAAGGGUUCCUGUCCAACGUUAAUCGGGGCAGGGUGAGUCGACCCCUAAGGCGAGGCCGAAAGGCGUAGUCGAUGGGAAACGGGUUAAUAUUCCCGUACUUGGUGUUACUGCGAAGGGGGGACGGAGAAGGCUAUGUUGGCCGGGCGACGGUUGUCCCGGUUUAAGCGUGUAGGUGUGUGUUCCAGGUAAAUCCGGUUCACUUUAACACUGAGGCGUGACGACGAGGCACUACGGUGCUGAAGCAACAAAUGCCCUGCUUCCAGGAAAAGCCUCUAAGCAUCAGGUAACAUCAAAUCGUACCCCAAACCGACACAGGUGGUCAGGUAGAGAAUACCAAGGCGCUUGAGAGAACUCGGGUGAAGGAACUAGGCAAAAUGGUGCCGUAACUUCGGGAGAAGGCACGCUGACACGUAGGUGAAGUGAUUUACUCACGGAGCUGAAGUCAGUCGAAGAUACCAGCUGGCUGCAACUGUUUAUUAAAAACACAGCACUGUGCAAACACGAAAGUGGACGUAUACGGUGUGACGCCUGCCCGGUGCCGGAAGGUUAAUUGAUGGGGUCAGCGCAAGCGAAGCUCCUGAUCGAAGCCCCGGUAAACGGCGGCCGUAACUAUAACGGUCCUAAGGUAGCGAAAUUCCUUGUCGGGUAAGUUCCGACCUGCACGAAUGGCGUAAUGAUGGCCAGGCUGUCUCCACCCGAGACUCAGUGAAAUUGAACUCGCUGUGAAGAUGCAGUGUACCCGCGGCAAGACGGAAAGACCCCGUGAACCUUUACUAUAGCUUGACACUGAACAUUGAGCCUUGAUGUGUAGGAUAGGUGGGAGGCUUUGAAGCGUGGACGCCAGUCUGC
rnacentral:rRNA from 1 species